UCACUGGCCCGGUGGGGGCCAGCAGGGUCAGGGCCCGCGGAAACCCUCAGCCUGGCGGGCCGGGAGGCCGCGGUGCUGCACUGGCUCGGCGCGCUCCCCGAGUGGCGCUCAGGCGGGGCGCGUUCAUUUCAUCUACAGACUGUCGGGAAGGCUUCCCGAACUCCUCCUCCCUGCCCGCCUUUGCGCAGGGCCGGACUCUUCGGAAACUGAAAUCACGGGCCGCCCGGCCCCCACCAGUCCUCGUGGGAUCCGGCCCGGGUUAACCUUCUAUGGGGAGGCCCAGGAGGGCCGGGCGGAGCGCCGGGGCGGGCGUGCGCUGACGUGGCGAGCGGCUCCCUCCACCCGCUCCUCCCGCGGGCACUGCCGAGGCCCAUGGGCGGGAAGCCGGGCGGCGGGCGGGACGUGGCCUCGGUCCCGGCCCUGCCCCGCCCCGCCGCCACUGAGACUCCCAGCGCCACCAACGUCGGAGUUGCAGUUUCUUUAGCUGUCAUAUGCAGACAAGUACUACCCACCUCGCCUUUGGAGUGAGCAGCAUCCCUGUGCCCAUCCUGCUGUGAUUCAGGAGUCUCGCAGAAGACAUCAGAAUGCCUUUCUCUGAGUCACAGUCUGUAUCUUCUAGAAAAGGCUGUCCAUCUUCACCCCAAGCCCACUGGCUCCUGAGAUACGACAUCCAGACCCAGUGCAGCUGGACCUGGCCCAGGAAGAUCAUGCGGUUUCUGGGAAGCACUGGAGAAGGAAAAGGCUGAAGAAAGGAAGACCGCUACUGAAAACAGAAGACUGGUCCAAGUGAGGUCUCCAGCUCUAAGGGCUCGGAUUCACGGCAGAGAUCCACGGUUCCUGGCUCCUCUCUCUAGCCCUUAGUCCUCUCUAUUACUGCAAGGAUUUGGCUUCAAGGUUGGAGCCUGGCUCACUGCCUUUCUUAUGCUUCCUAAGCAGAACCCCAGGGUGAGAGGAUGUGUGUGUGAGGGGAAGAGGCUGGCCAAUGCCUCCUGUAAAGGUAGGUGUCCAGAGUCUGAAAGCCUUGGGUUCAAUUCCUGGCUCACUCACUCAGAUGUUAAUGGCUCCAGGUAAGUCACUGAACCUCUCGGAGCCUCAGUUCUCACAUCUGGGCUUGCUCUAGUAAGGGGUAAAGAGGUAAUGGAGGGAGAAACACUUUGGAAUCUGUAAAGUACACUGUUCAGAAUGAGAAACUUCUACAAGUAGAUUGACUCUCCUUGCUCUGCCCCUUUCUUCACUAAAAGAGUAUUUAGAUAGAGGCAGAUAGCUGCCUUAGAAUAUAAGCAAAAAGAUGUUUUAUUUAGAGACAUUUUCCAGACAUCUGGAGAUGAGAAGAACUUGGUAUCCCAGAGACACCCUGGAAGAGUCCCCUAAAGGAGAAUGGGAAAAGGAAAACAUUCUCUGAACACCUAUUAUAUUUUAGAUACUGUGACAGUCCCUUUCAUAUAUAAAGAGUGGCAAUGAUGAUGAUGCUGGCUAACAAGAAAGUUGAGUGCCCACUGUGUGACAGGUACCCUUUUGAUUGCUUUACAUAUAUUAUCCCCAUUUUACAGAUGAGGAAGCUGAGGCACUGCAAAGUAAAAACAAAUUUCCAAGGUCACCCUAAGCUAAGGUUUAAAUUGCAGCAGCCAGAGUCGCAGGGCCAUGUGCACAGCCGUCUCUCCACACUGCGUUCAGUCUGCACAUUGUUAGUCUCAUGUAACACCACCUGCCACUUUCAGAUAAGGAACUGAGCCUCAGGAAGAUUACGUUACUUGCUUAGGGUCACAUAGAGGGGAGAGAGGAGGUUCAUUGAGUGUUUUGCUUUUUUUCUUCUUUCUUCAAAAAUAUUUCCUUCUUUGGCUAUCUUUUUGACUAGAACAAAGGCAUUGUUGAUUCAGUUCGCGUCUGAAUCUUGCUUCCUAUUAUUUCCUCACUUGAGUCCUAGGUUCCCCUUAGGAUCAGACAGAAGAAGUCUACUGCCUUGUUCAUAGGGAAAUCUCUGAAAUACCCAAAGCCUAUCCUCCCAACAUGUUUGCUUCUUUUC
rnacentral:lncRNA from 1 species